rnacentral:rRNA from 1 species
UACAGAGGUGGCAAGCGUUGUUCGGAAUUACUGGGCGUAAAGGGCGCGUAGGCGGCCUUCUAAGUCAGACGUGAAAUCCCCCGGCUUAACCUGGGAACUGCGUCUGAUACUGGAGGGCUUGAGUUCGGGAGAGGUGAGUGGAACUGCGAGUGUAGAGGUGAAAUUCGUAGAUAUUCGCAAGAACACCAGUGGCGAAGGCGGCUCACUGGCCCGAUACUGACGCUGAGGCACGAAAGCGUGGGGAGCAAACAGGG